UUUUUUAUGCUACUGAAUUAGAUCUUCCCUUGUUUCAUAAUUUGGCUCUCUUAAACUUCAUGUUGGUGGUUGUUUAUGGCAUGUGCUCCCACACUAGCUUCAUCGGGCUCCUAAUCUUGCAGUACUUGUCUUUGAGAAGGAAUGCGAUGAGGAAGAUACUUCCAUAAUAGAAUGGAUGUCCUAUGAGGACGUUCCUAUAUGUAUAUCAUUGCACCUCAAGACAUUUCAUUUUAUAGGAUUUAAAGGGUUAACGUAUGAACUGGAAUUUGUUGGACAUAUCCUUAAGACGGCAAGAUUCUUAAAGACGAUGACAGUCUCUUCUGCUGAUAUAGAUUCAGAGGAGCAGUUUCGUGUUCUCAAUGAGUUAUUGAUGUUACCAAGGGAAUCCAGGACUUGUCAAAUUGCAUUUAGCUGAAAUAUAUUUCAUUAUGAUUUCUCUCUGUUACUGAAGCACUGUAUUUGGUUCAUUUGAAUCAAGGCAGGUAAAAGUAGGAAAGAUAAAUCCAACAAGUCUGAUUUACUGUGCUUUUAAGUAGUGAUGUUGCCUUGUUCUUUUAAUUCAUACCCAAGUCUUGGAAAAUGUUGUUAACCUAUUUUUAUUUUAGUAGGAACAAUAUGACAGAGCUGCUGAUGUUAAAAUCAAAAUAUAUUGUGAGUGAAUUAUUGUGGCAGCUUU